AUGUCACCAAUUCCUAACUACAUAACUACUAAAAUUAAAAAACAUCUCAUUUGCUGGUAUCAUCUAUUGGAAAUCACCCACACUUCUACCCCCAGGUCAAAUCCUCCUUGAUCUCCCAAAUCAAGUUUCUUGUAUAGAGAUCCUCAUCCCCAGCACUCCCAUCAACCACAUCACUGAACCAGCAAAUCUCAGUGGAGGUUUGUGGAUUUUCCACCAUGAUCUGAAAGGCACUGCUCAUCUGAUGUUUGAGAGUUGGGGUUUCAGAAUGUUCAGAAGCCUUGCAUUUGCCCUACAUAAUUGUCAACUUCUGUAUAAAUCUGGGGAUCAAUUUGCUGAUUCUAACUUACAUUUUCACCAAGAAUGUGAGGAGUUCCGGGGCUGCCCAUGGCCAGAGGACCAACCAGAGUCGGAAGAUCAGAGGAGAAGAGGGGGGGGGAGGAUCGGCGGC
rnacentral:sRNA from 1 species